GGUCAACGGCUCCUUUGAAAGUCUACACAAUUUGGUAAGAACAUAUAAGAAGAGAAACAUAUUUUUGUGGAAGGUCACAGAGUAACUGCCGUAAAGAAGUAAAAAAAAUAGCAUGUGAUUCGGCAAAUGAGAAAAGCAAAAGUAACUCCCCUUUCUUGACAUUAACAUUUGUCAUGUUUGAUUAAACCAAGAACCUUAGAGAUCACGACUUUUGCUGUACCCCUUAAUUGAUUAGAAUAGUAUUAAUCUUUUGGAGGGUCCACGGCUAAUAUUAAAUUUCUUAUUCAUCAGUUGGUGAGAUCUACCAAACCUACUAAAAAACCCACUAAUAAUUUAAUCAAAGUUGAAGAAUUGAUUCCAGCAGCAGUAUUCAAAUACCUUGUGUAUCUCGAGAAUCCUAUUUUAAAAAGAUGUUAACAUAAAAGCAAUCCUGAAACUAUAUUCUAUAACACACUAGUUUUGCCUUCUGGUAUCACCUAAUGGACACAACAAACAAAGCAUAACCAAGAGACAACUAUGCUGAUGAUACUGAUAAUAAUGGUGAUAAUGAUGAAUGAUGACGGUAAAUGCAUAAAAAUAUUCAAGUGUGUUUGUUACCUUGGUGUAAUACCGACAGCCCUU
rnacentral:lncRNA from 1 species